rnacentral:rRNA from 1 species
AGCGCGCCCUUCGGGGUGAGCGGCGGACGGGUUAGUAACGCGUGGGAACGUGCCCUUCUCUAAGGAAUAGCCACUGGAAACGGUGAGUAAUACCUUAUACGCCCCCCAAUCAAAUUCCAUUUGGUUGACGGAAAUUCCGUUGAAUGCCGGAUGGCAUUUGAUGGGGGGGAAAGAUUUAUCGGAGAAAGAUCGGACCGCGUUAGAUUAGAUAGUUGGUGGGGUAAUGGCCUACCAAGUCUACGAUCUAUAGCUGGUUUUAGACGAUGAUCAGCAACACUGGGACUGAGAACACGGACCAGACUCCUACGGGAGGCAGCAGUAGGGAAUCUUGGACAAUGGGGCGCAAGCCUGAUCCAGCCAUGCCGCGUGAGUGAAGAAGAGCUUAGGGUCGUAAAACUCUUUCGACCUGGUGAUGAUAAUGACAGUAGCCAGGUAAAGAAACCCCGGCGUAACUCCAGGACCAGCAGCCGCGGUAAUACAGAAGGGGUUAGCGUUGUUCGGAAUUACUGAGGCGGUAAAGCGCGCGUAUGCGGAUUGGAAAGUUAAGGUGAAAUCCCGGGCUCAACCCGGAAAGGCUUUAAACUCCC